CUUUUGAUGGCGACCGGCGCACGGGUGAGUAACACGUAUCCAACCUGCCUCAUACUCGGGGAUAGCCUUUCGAAAGAAAGAUUAAUACCCGAUGUUAUAGUCCUACCGCAUGAUGGGAUUAUUAAAGAAUUUCGGUAUGGGAUGGGGAUGCGUUCCAUUAGUUAGUUGGCGGGGUAACGGCCCACCAAGACAACGAUGGAUAGGGGUUCUGAGAGGAAGGUCCCCCACAUUGGAACUGAGACACGGACCAGACUCCUACGGAAGGCAGCAG
rnacentral:rRNA from 1 species